rnacentral:rRNA from 1 species
ACGGAAGGCAGCAGUGGGGAAUCUUGCACAAUGGGGGCAACCCUGAUGCAGCGACGCCGCGUGAAUGAAGAAGUAUUUCAGUAUGUAAAGCUCUAUCAGCAGGGAAGAUAAUGACGGUACCUGACUAAGAAGCCCCGGCUAACUACGUGCCAGCAGCCGCGGUAAUACGUAGGGGGCAAGCGUUAUCCGGAUUUACUGGGUGUAAAGGGUGCGUAGGUGGUAUGGCAAGUCAGAAGUGAAAACCCGGGGCGCAACCCCGUGGAUUGCUUUGGAAACUGUCAAACUAGAGUACCGGAGAGGUGAGCGGAAUUCCUAGUGUAGCGGUGAAAUGCGUAGAUAUUAGGAGGAACACCAGUGGCGAAGGCGGCUUACUGGACGGUAACUGACACUGAGGCACGAAAGCGUGGGGAGCAAACAGGAUUAGAUACCCUGGUA